AUGGCCACGGAGCCGCGCUCAACGCCGCACCUCCUCGUCGUCCCCUUCCCGGCGCAGGGCCACGCGCUGCCGCUGCUCGACCUGGCCGCGCUGCUCGCGUCCCGCGGCCUCCGCCUCACCGUCGUCACCACGCCCGCCAACGCGCCGCUCCUCUCCCCUCUCCUCGCCGCCCACCCCGGCUCCGUCCAGCCCCUCGUCCUCCCCUUCCCCGCGCACCCCUCCCUCCCGCCGGGCCUCGAGAACACCAGGAGCUGCCCGCCCUCCUACUUCCCCGUCUUCAUCCACGCGCUCGCCGCGCUCCGCCAGCCCGUCCUCGCGUGGGCCAGGUCGAACUCGCACCCCGUCGUCGCCGUCGUGUCCGACUUCUUCUGCGGGUGGACGCAGCCCCUCGCGGCGGAGCUCGGCGUGCCCAGGAUCGUCUUCUCGCCCUCGGGCGUCCUCGGCACCGCCGUCCCGCACUCUCUGUUCCGUCGGCUGGUCAAGCGGCCGUCGGAUGCCGAUGACGGGUUCGGCGUUUCGUUCCCGGCGAUUCCCGGCGAGCCGGGGUUCCAGUGGAGAGAGCUUUCCGGGAUGUACAGGGGCUACAUGGAAGGCAAGGUGGAGGAGCAGGUCGGCGAGGCCGUGAGGCAGAACUUCCUCUGGAAUCUGGAGAGCUGGGGGUUUGUGUCGAACACCUUCCGUGCGCUCGAGGGGAGGUACCUGGAGUCGCCGCUCGAGGACCUGGGGUUCAAGCGCGUGUGGGCGGUGGGUCCGCUAGCGCCGGAGACGAGCAGCUCCGGAGAUCGUGGCGGCGAGGCGGCUCUUGUCGCCGGCGAUCUCGGGCCGUGGCUGGACGGCUUCCCGCAAGGCUCGGUCGUGUACGUGUGCUUCGGCAGCCAGGCGGUGCUGACCCCGGCCGUGGCGACGGCCCUAGCCGAGGCGCUGGAGCGGAGCGCCGUCCCGUUCCUGUGGGCCGCGGGCGACGGCGCGGUGCUCCCGGAAGGGUUCGAGGCCCGCGCGUCGGCGGCGAGGCGCGGGCUGGUGGUGCGCGGGUGGGCGCCGCAGGUGGCCAUCCUGCGGCACGCGGCGGUGGGGUGGUUCAUGACGCACUGCGGCUGGAACUCGGUGCUAGAGUCGGCGGCGGCGGGCGUGCCCAUGCUGGCGUGGCCGAUGACGGCGGACCAGUUCGUGAACGCGCGGCUGCUCGAGGACGAAGCGCGCGUCGCGGUGCGCGCGUGCGCGGGCGGGAUCGGCGUGGCCCCGGACGCCGGCGAGCUCGCGGCCGUGCUGGCCGGCGCUGUCGGGGAGGGAGGGAGCGCCGCGCGGGCGCGCGCCAAGGAGCUCGCGGCGGAAGCAGCCGGCGCGACCAAGGAAGGCGGGAGCUCGCGCGAGGAUCUGGAGCGGCUGGUGCUAGAGAUUCAGAAGCUUUGA
rnacentral:rRNA from 1 species